UACGUAGGGUGCGAGCGUUAAUCGGAAUUACUGGGCGUAAAGCGUGCGCAGGCGGUUCGUUGUGUCGGUGGUGAAAUCCCCGGGCUUAACCUGGGAAUGGCCAUGGAAACUGGCGAACUGGAGUGCGGCAGAGGGGGGUGGAAUUCCGCGUGUAGCAGUGAAAUGCGUAGAGAUCCGGAGGAACCCCAGAGGCGAAGGCGGCGUCCUGGCCCAUUUCUGACGUUCAGACAUGACAGCAUGGGGAGCGAACGGG
rnacentral:rRNA from 1 species